ensembl:lncRNA
ACACACACACACACACACACACACACACACACACACAGAAUUACAGACUUAUUGUUUUGUAAACCCAAUUGCAUGGUCACUUCAUGGUGACAGUUUCGUCAGGCAAGCCUGAGGUAGCCAGACCCCAGCACAUGGAAUUGCGCCAUCCACUGUUAACACGCAUCUGCCCACCUGACUUAACCAAAUCCUUCACCGGUGUGCUCAAAGGCUUGUCUCCUAGGUGAUUCCAGAUCCUGUUAAGGUGGCAAUAUUUAGCCAUCACACACUAUCAUGAUGUAGAACUCUCAACUCCUCCAGAACCAUGUCUU